rnacentral:rRNA from 1 species
UACAGAGGGGGCAAGCGUUGUUCGGAAUUACUGGGCGUAAAGGGCGCGUAGGCGGCCGCCUAAGUCAGACGUGAAAUCCCUCGGCUCAACCUGGGAACUGCGUUCGAAACUGUGGGUCUAGAGUGUCGGAGAGGAUGGCGGAAUUCCUGGUGUAGAGGUGAAAUUCGUAGAUAUCAGGAGGAACACCGGUGGCGAAGGCGGCCAUCUGGACGACAACUGACGCUGAGAUGCGAAAGCGUGGGGAGCAAACAGG